rnacentral:rRNA from 1 species
UACGUAGGUGGCAAGCGUUGUCCGGAUUUACUGGGCGUAAAGAGCGCGCAGGCGGUCGUUCAAGUCGCGUGUGAAAGCCCCCGGCUCAACUGGGGAGGGUCACGCGAUACUGAUCGACUCGAAGGCAGGAGAGGGUAGUGGAAUUCCCGGUGUAGUGGUGAAAUGCGUAGAUAUCGGGAGGAACACCAGUGGCGAAGGCGACUACCUGGCCUGUUCUUGACGCUGAGACACGAAAGCGUGGGUAGCAAACAGG